CCAACCCUGUACUUCUCCCAUGUGAGUUCCUGUGUUCUGUUUCAAAAGAUCAGCCCUUGUAGCAACGCUAGGGCUUCGGCGUGAAGAGGAGAAGCAACGUGGAUUUCUUGGGCAAAACCGUCAACCAGAACCCCUCGAGAGUCUCGCAAAAUGCCAGCAAUGGAGCUCGUUUUCUCCCCCUUCGCCCAGGAACAAUCCACGUUAAGUUUGAGGAUGUUGCUGUCCGGUGCUAACCAGUGAUCAGGAUGAGGUCGUGUUCUAGCUUUCUGAUUUUCUUUGCUCAGAUGCCAUCUCUUGAAAGCUCGAACCUGAGUUUGGGCAAGAUCUACUAUGGAAUUAGCCUUAGGGGGUCAAGAUCUGAAGACAACGUCAUUCUGAAGCUUCCAAAUCAGCCAUAUUAUGCAGGCCACCGUUUCUGCUAUAGAGGUUGAGGCGCAGGUCUACCCAGACUAGCCAGGUUUUUUUUACAGAGGAAGAAAAGAUGCUCUAUAGUUUCGGGAUACCAAGAACAUAGGGGGCACAAGGGAUCAGGUAUAAUUCUCCUCUUGAAUAGAUUUUCUUUUGUUGGAAUAGCAUUUUGACAUAUACUCCAUAGAAAAAAUCUUACUUUUGGAGGGACUGGAAGUGCCCAUAAUCUAGUCCAUAACGUUCUCGGCGGCUGAUAGGAAGUCAUUGCUUUGUUAGUCUUGGUUGUUGGCCAAUGAACAGAUCCUGCUGUAGCCACUCUUAACUGUGUAUGUGCCUGUUUUAUUCCC